AAGUAUGCAAAUAUCAAGGAAUGAAUGUGUCUGUAAUCUACAAUUCACAACAAUAGUGGAGCUUGCCUUUAACUGAAUAAUUAUUUGUCAUAUUUAGGACAAGUGGUUGUGGCAGCUGUCUUCUCUGAACAGCAGUCUGGUGAACACCGUACUGUUUCGGCCUCAGUACACUGAAGAUCUAAGAAAACACUUCACACCCUACAACCCCUAAAAAUAACCCAGAUUUGACAGCAGUGCACACCCAUCUGAGGCUGACCUGUUUUACUUCAUGAUCACCCCACAUACUUCUACAACUAACCCGCUUUUGUGCAUCUUCAAUGAAGAUAUUAACCCCAAAACUCUGACACCCAAGAAACCAUCAAAUAAAUCCGUAUGAAUGGAGCCGUGUAAUCUACUUUUGGGCCAAACUGUUCAAUGAAUGCUAAGGAGUAGUUUCAGUUAGCAGAAGUUAAAAGCAGCUUGUAAGUGUAUUUAUUUCUUGUCUCAGUGUU